CCCAGGCGGCAGCUGGACGGGACAACUUACAGUGACUGCAGAAAUCACCCUUAAGGGGAAACCCUGCUUUCCUGGUCAGCUCCAGAGGGCCAGGGGACCCUGACAAAGGUGCCGGGGACCAGGGAAGGGCCGGCCACCCCCAGCAUGUGGGGUAAUUGACUGACCUGCACUGGAAGAAGUGCCUGCCCUUCGGUAUAUAUACCCAAGAGAAAACCGCGCAUGUGUAUAAAAGGAGACCUAUAUGAGAAUGUUUGCAGCAGCACUGCUCCCAGUACCACGACCCCAGAAGCAACCCAAACACUCAUCACAGGAGAGUGGGAUAACUAGCUGGUAUUUUCACCCAGUGGAACACUCUAUGGAAACACGACACAUGAGUGAACAAUGUUGAGAUGCAACAAUAUGGAAGAACCUCAGCCGUAUAAUAUUGAUUGCAAAAACUACCACAUAAUAGAGGAUCGGUGAAGCCUUCUGACUAAACAAAUGAAGUAUUGGGAAUCCAAGCCUGGAGAAGGAACAUCCCUCCUCACAGGGCAGAAGAGCCACAUAUCCAGGCUCCUGCCUCUCACCAGCUCUCCCUUCGCUAAACGUUUGGACUUCUGCCGGCAGGAGACUUCACAAAGGAAGGGAAGAACAUCGGGGCAUUCACAGCACUGCCCAGCACCUGGAAGACGGCUGAGGCAGAUGCAUGUUCUGGUUAGAGGAGAUGAAUGGCAUACAACCCCUUUCAAAAAAUUCCUCGUUUCCCCCAGGUUUGCCCCUUCCUUCCUCUCUCCCACAGGACCUAAUGAGCUGCAGACAGCAGGUGCUAUGCCUUCAUUCAUCACAGGCGGCAGGGAGAGAGGGAUAGCCGUACGUCCUGGUUGGGGGAUCUUUGGGCCCUGGCAGCCAGCCUCGGGCAAUGAGGUGGUAGAGAGGAGAGAGAGGCGGAGAGGGAGGGGGAGGUGAUCACCACGCACUGGCCUAGAUUUCUGAAGUUUUGACCAACUGGGAGCAAAGGAGGUACGUGAGCAGCCGUGGGCAAGCAUAAGUGCAGCCGCCCCAUCCAUGGAAUCUAUGCAUUCUAACCAGGCAAUCCAUAUGUUCCCUUCCUGCCCUACGUCAAGUGCUAGCGUGAAGGAGUUAAAGGCUGAAACACUGGGACCUUGGGAAAGACCUUUUCCUCAUCUGAGCGUCUGUUCACUUGGAGGUUCUCUGGGUCUGCAGCCCACCAGUCUGCAAAGAGGAUGGUGAUGAAACAGAAAAAGGCAAGACCACUCAAUCAAGGAAAUAGAACCAAAGCAAACCUUCAAAGGACAAAGAAUACUUGUGCUCACUCCACACAGAAAAAUGGAUCACCUUCCUUUAGGUACUUCCACGUUCGAUACUUCAUCAUGGGCCCACAGCCUUCUACAUGGCGCUGUCUGGAUUUCUGCAGUGAGGACAUGGCUCAAAGAAGUAGAAGGACAUGCCCAAGGAUGAAUCAGCCAGGAAGGCAUGGAGUUGGAAUGUGAGACCCGCCUACACUGUUGGUGACCACCAGGAUCAGGGUUCUGUAGAAAAGCGUUUAUGUCCAGUGAAUGGGCUGGUCCAUGCUUCCAAAACGUGAAGCUCCCCUGAGUUGCCCGCCAGCAUUCUCUCUGACAACAUCUCCCAUGAGCAUGGAAAUGAGCUUCCCCCCAAAGAACACGUCAGAUAACCUUUUCUAAGGCAGCUGUCAGUCACCACCUCGGUCCUCUCUAACUGUGGAAGGGAACCUUUUUCCUGAGGAAUCCUUGACGUGCUUGCACUGCCAGCCUGUGCCAUAGGUCCCCUCAGCACUGAGACCACGGGCUCUUCACCCCCACACACGCGUAUUACAUACAUUUGUUUAUAUGGAGCUUUGGCGCUCUCUUGAUUGCACAGCAGUGCAGCCUGCUGAUGAGGUUUGCUGUUGACAUUUCAACAUUAGCUGGCUUUUGUCAAUUGUGGCAGCCUAAGAAAUUCUAUCUUAAGGGCUGCUCUUUAUUAAAUUUGCAAGAUACAAAACUGUGACUGACAAAUAGUCUCCUUUCCCUUUGCAAAUGCAUAAAUAAUGGUCAGCAACUCUCAAGUAAUUAAAAUGUUCUAAAUUUAAACAAAAAUGAAAUUGCCAAAGAUUUACAAGGAUUGGGGUAGCCUACAUUUGGCCUAACGAAACAUUUUCGUGAUAUUUUCCAACAGUUAUCAGCAGAUCUUUGGGGGAUGAGAAUGAGGGAGAAGGCGCAGCAGGGGAGAAAGCAGAGGAAAGAACAUUUACAUGGGCUUCCUUGUUCUAUGUUUUACCAAACUUUGUCACAGAAUCUUCUAUGCGACUCUUUUAUGUGCUAUCGGUGACAUAAUUCCUGUUUUAUUCCCCAGCCAUUAUAUAUGAUAAAUAAAACAAUGCUCUGAAAACACUAAGAUCUCUCAUCAAUGUCAUUGUGAAAAGGGCCCAGAUAAAUGAGUCCUGGAAUCAAAGGCAGAUGACAUGGCUGACCAUGUAUCAUCUUCUAUGUAUUGAACGUAGUCUUUGUAAAGAUAGAGCGGUAAU